rnacentral:rRNA from 1 species
UUUUGACCCCAGGUCAAGCA